rnacentral:lncRNA from 1 species
GGAAAAUAAAUUGUUAAAGUUCUAUUGGGACACCCUAUACAGUCGCAGUCUUGUGAUCCCGUAGGAUACACAUCUCAGUCUAACGCCCCGAGGGACGUACAUAUCAGUCUAGUGUUCUGCAGAAACACAUAUCAGUCAAAUGCUCCCGAAGGUGCACAAUAAAUUGGUGAUCCCGUGGGACACCUACAAGGUAAACAUCCCAAUACAAUCUAACAAUUUAUCCCCUCAUUCCAUUCAACCCAUCUUUCAGUUACUUCAAGUCACAAAGUUCUUUCUUUCAACAUCCUAACAGUCAACUUAUUUUACUACAGUCAUAUGUCUGUCAAUAAUAU